rnacentral:rRNA from 1 species
UAAUAGAUAGGAACGUAUCCGGGAGUGGGGGAGUAACUAGCCGAAAGGUUAGCUAAUACCGCAUAUUCUCUGAGGAGGGAAAGCGGGGGACCUGCAAGGGCCUCGCGCUCGCGGAGUGGCCUAUCUCCGAUUAGCUAGUUGGUGAGGUAAAGGCUCACCAAGGCGACGAUCGGUAGCUGGUCUGAGAGGAUGAUCAGCCACACUGGGACUGAGACACGGCCCAG